AAAUACUUCCACUGGAUAACAGAAGAUUUACAGUCUUGGUCAUCAGAAGGAAUGCCACACUAAUGAAAUCAAGGAUCCUUAAGCCAUGUUCGCCCUGAUUAGCUUCUGUUCCACUGGGCAGCCUGAUGAACACACUGUGCUGACCGUGGAUACAUGUUCCCAGUCUAACUGUGACCCACAGAGACAUCGUGAGAUAGGUCAGCUUGGGAAGCAGAUAUCCCAAGGACAAGAGAAAGUGGGGUCCAAGAUCUACAGCUAAUGGAAAAAGGCAAGGGAACCAAGCUGGAAUGCCAUGUGGACAAAGGAAAACAAAUGAAGAUGUCCCUGAAUGAUAUACAAAUGGGGAACAGAUAAUAUGGAGCAAUAGUUUGACAGACUGUGGUUGCCAUACUGGGGGGGGGGGGAAAGGGUUAAACCUCAAAGUGAAUAUCUUAGCCAUACCACAGAGGAUGUUGAAGAGUAAGAUUAGAAGUAAUGCAGCAG
rnacentral:lncRNA from 1 species